CGGGCGUUAAGUUGCAGGGUAUAGACCCGAAACCCGGUGAUCUAGCCAUGGGCAGGUUGAAGGUUGGGUAACACUAACUGGAGGACCGAACCGACUAAUGUUGAAAAAUUAGCGGAUGACCUGUGGCUGGGGGUGAAAGGCCAAUCAAACCGGGAGAUAGCUGGUUCUCCCCGAAAGCUAUUUAGGUAGCGCCUCGUGAAUUCAUCUCCGGGGGUAGAGCACUGUUUCGGCUAGGGGGCCAUCCCGGCUUACCAACCCGAUGCAAACUGCGAAUACCGGAGAAUGUUAUCACGGGAGACACACGGCGGGUGCUAACGUCCGUCGUGAAGAGGGAAACAACCCAGACCGCCAGCUAAGGUCCCAAAGUCAUGGUUAAGUGGGAAACGAUGUGGGAAGGCCCAGACAGCCAGGAUGUUGGCUUAGAAGCAGCCAUCAUUUAAAGAAAGCGUAAUAGCUCACUGGUCGAGUCGGCCUGCGCGGAAGAUGUAACGGGGCUAAACCAUGCACCGAAGCUGCGGCAGCGA
rnacentral:rRNA from 2 species